GGGCGAGUGGCGGAACGGUAUACGCGCACGGCUUAGGACCGUGUUCCGAAAGGAUUGGAGGUUCGAGUCCUCUCUCGCCCACCA
rnacentral:tRNA from 1 species